AAACGGCUCACCUUCCCUGGGCUUAAGCUUUAGCACUGUGCUCAGAGCCUUGCAGAAAGCAUCUCUGGGAAUCCUUGAAACUGCCUUCGGGGUAAUUACUGUUAUUAUUCCCAUCUGAUAGAUGAGAAACUGGGGCCUCAAGGAGGAAAUUGCCCAAGAUCACACAACCUUCGGCUGACCCCAAAGAGAGUGGUGUUCAUGACUAUAUAAUGUCAUGGCAUCUUGAGCGAGAACUUUGCCUUAGGGCCUUCCUCAGGGAAGUGUUGGGCUAGAAACAACAGGCCUGGCUGCUGUGAAGAAAGGAGUCUCUUGUGGCCACAAAGGAAGAAGAAGGAGGGGUCUGGAGAGCCUCUGGAUCCAGGGUUAUUUGCUAAGGCUGAAGUCCGAGAUCCCUCUUGGACCACUCGUACCUGAAUUGCUCCCGGCCUGCUGGGUGCCAGGUGGCAUGGAGCUUCCCAGCCUUCACUCAGUUUGUUGACUACCAGGUGAACUCAGUUUCCAACUGCAGGACAUCAGAACAAGAUUCUGAAUGAAAACGUGUUCCCCCAGGUGAGCCAUAUGCAGACGAAUGCUUGGGAUGCUGGGUAGAUGUUGAAAAAAAGUUUUGCCCGAAGAAUACCAAGUAGACACAGGCUGCGUUUCGUGGCCAACGAGAGCAGUCUUGCAACCAGGCCGUCUUUCUGAAAAUGGGAAUAUGUUUUGUGAGAGGAAGACAUGAUGGCAGGUCUAGCUGUCAAGCUGCUUGGAUGGCCUUGGAGUCAGAAUCUGCAGGAACCACAAGAGAUUGGAUGAGAAGCUGGGGGCAGAGUUCUAACAGCAGCCCAAGCCUCCACAGUGCCAAGAUGGGCCAUCUGCCUGUGAGAAGGGAAAGCUUCCACUUCUCUUAGCAAUGACUCUGGCUUAUUUCUAAUUUAGCAGAAAAAAAAAAAUGAUUCAAGCAAUAUCAUGUGCUUCUAUAUCUUCAAAGCAAUACCACACCAUCAAUUAGCAGCUCAGCGUACCAACAGUUCUAAACUUUUUGCGAGCUUCUUGGAAACAAGAUGUGGAGCUUCAGCAGAAGAAAAUUGGAGAAGAGAAGAUUGGCCUCAGACACUUCCGUCUUCAGACCUGUGCCUCUCCUUUGAGGAUCCCUUCCCCGAAGCUGCCAAGGAGAACCUUCCCUCACAUUGUUCCUCCUUUGUUCCCCGCUCUCCUUUUCCAGGCUGAGAGACCUGGGGCCUUGGAAGCAAGCACACGCUGGCUGAGCUGUGAUUCCUCCAUGUUGAUUAUAAUUUUUAUCACAUUAUAUGGGAUCCCUCUGGUGGUUACUAGGGGAUACGUCAGUUUUGAGAGAUUGGAACCUAACCAAAGAAGCUUCAAAUCUAGAGGAUAAGGGGACUCAGAGUUUACAAGUCACAGCAAGCAGAUGCUGGUCUGCUUUAGGUGCCUCUUACGGGGAUUGUGAGAGGGCUCCUGGGGCCUGAGGAGGGUCUUCUGAGGUGUGAAAGGCUGUACUGGUGGUCCCUGAAAGCCAUCGUCAUUUGUGUGAGGAGGAGUACUGGAGGAGCUGUCUUACCACAUGAAAAACAGCAUGGAGCAUCCCAGCCACAUCAAAGGCACGGUUUGAGCCUUGGGCUGUAGAGGCUCAGAGAGAGUGACAAAUAAGACCCUGGUGAGAGACCAAUGGGGACAGUAUUUCCAGACUUUGGCAUGAAACAGAUUUCUGAGCACCUCAUGAAAUGUCUGCAAGGGCAGCUCCUCAGAGUGACCCUCCCAAAUCAAUCAAAGCUGGCCCCCUAUCUUAAUUAUGACUUACAAAUAGAAGCAUGCACCUGGCUGGAUGCAGUUUGCCACAUGGUUUACAAUAGCGGUAGAAUAAGAAAUAACUUACCAAACGAGUACAUUUUCUUGGCUGGCUGGGGCACUCAGAGUUGACACUGGAGUAUUUAGCCUGGAUGAAACUUGAUACUUCAAAAAGAAUCACUUGCUAAAGGGAGAAGUGAGCCCCACCUUCUGUUAGGAAGAUGUGUUUGUUUAUUGGCUGCUUCAAGAACAUAAGCUCCUCUCACCAUCUACUCACUGUAUUCUAAGUGUGAGGCAUAUGGUGGGUAUUUGGCUUGGUGUGUUAAUCAAACUGUCAGCAAAGGAAAAAAAAAAGAAGAAGAAGAAAGGGCACAUUCUAUCCAAAUGAAGAAAAAUCUGAGCUUUCUACAACAAACACAUUUUCCAGUGGAUGAGCUUCUCACACAGUAAUUAUUUCACUUCUCCCAGAGAUUACUGAUUACAUCACACAGAAAAACUAAAUGAGGGCUGUUUUAUCUUUCUCAUCUCUCUGUGGUUCUUGUGCAAACUUAUACUUGUUAUCAUGAAAAAUGACAAAUUUGCCAUCUGAUCAAAAUGUUAACAAGGUAACUGUCAGUGAGAUGGAUCUCUGACUGUCACUGCAAGCCAGAACAUGAGGAUACAUUGAUAUUUCUCAAUACAGCCCCUGCUUCCCCAACGUUCACUAACUACAUUUCCACAGUAAGGUAAUAAAUCACUCAGAAAUAACGAGCUAUAUAGGAUCUCUGGGGUAUGAUAGAUGUGUCCUAACAGCACUAUCUGCAAGAUAGAAAACAAUUGAUAAUGAUCUAAAGAAAACCCUAAUCAACUGCCAUUUUCCAUAAUGGGGUAGAUGAAGCAAAGAUAUGAAAUCUUAACUAUGUGAUGCAUGUUAUGACAAAACCGGACUGCUCCAAAAAAAACCCACACAGCCCCAAACAAAACACAAAUGACCUAACAUUACGUAGGGUCGAAUAAAUGAAAAAUAAAGUUAAUAACACAGUCUGGAUACAAACAUUAUAUUGGACACUGGCAAUGAUGGGAUAAUCACAGCAAUUGCUGGGUCCACAAACAGCUAAAUAGUGGAGGGUUCCUCAUAUAACAUGAAUGAAGACUCUGGCUCAGUUAUUGGUUUAAUGAACUCUCCUCCAAUACUUUUAUGUUCUUUAAGACUCUUUGGGCCACAUUAUUUCUGAGCCUUUAAUUCAAUGGUUUAACCAAUCAUUUCCCCCACCCCCCCCCCCCCGCCCCUUAGCAACGUGGCCAAGUGCCACAUCCAAAGGAACCAAGAGAGAAGAGGAGAAGUCCAUAUGGAAAUAGGAGGUAAUCAAAGACAGAACACAAGAUAGAAAACUUCUGCAAGAAGAUCAUGGCUUCAGAUCACAGGGACAAAGAAGCAUGGCAUCAAACUGCCAAGAAGCUGCCUCAUAACGACAUCCCUUUAGGUUUUAAGGUUAAGAAGUCUCACAUAGCCACAGUUGGUCUCCUGCCUGUCCCCUCUGCUCGUUUGUCUUUGGCCAUUCCUGCUUCUGCUGUUUGUAGAAUACUCCAAGCGCCUUCCCUCCCCAAGACCUUGUGCCUGCUCUUCUCUCUCUCUCAGGGAUCUCUCUCCUCCCUGGCUCCUUCCCUUCAUCCAGCUUAAAUCUUCCCCAAGGAACCUGCCUUGCCCUUCGGUUUCAAAGUAGCCUCUACUACCACCCCUUUGGUCUCUAUCAGCUUCAUCGAUAGCAGAAAGAACCAUGUCUGUCUGGACCACUGUAAUUUCCAGGCUUCUAGCACUUUCUCUUCUCUAGUAGGGAUUAAGCACAGUCCCAAUCCUGGGCUCUGGGAUACAGGACUGACUAGCCUUGAAUCUAGUGCCACAACUAAGUACCUGUGUCCCACUGUGCAAGCACUCAAUUUCUAUGUGCCUCAGGUCCCUCAUUUGUAAAACAGAGAGAAUAGCAAUGCCUAUAAAUGACAGCGUUUUGAAGACUAAAUCACUUUAUCAAUGUAAAGAGCCUGAGAUAGUAUCAGGCAUACAGGAAUCCAUCAAUCAGCUGCUGUUUUUAUAAGAGCAAGAACAGAGGUAAUUCAGACAUAAAGUGAAUUAAUUCAUGAUUAUAGACGUUAGAUCAAUGAGUCACCUUCAUCAUUCCAGGUUUUUAUUUUACCAUUAGCCAAAACAGUAUUGUGCUCCUUCUAAUUCCAUAUUCUCAGACUACAUGGAAUGAAUGGGUAUUGGUCUUUAAGCCUCUUUGAGCAAUGCCAAUAAAUACAGUCACUUCCAAUUUGAGGGCACUUGGAAUAGCAGUGCUAUUGUUCCUUUGACAUCUCAACAGCACUUGAAAGUGAAAGAAAAAAAAAUAGAUUAAUGGAUGUAUUCCCUAAAGCAACAAACAUGUUUGAUGUAUAAACAUAUGUUAUGGGCAAUGACGCUGUACCUUUGGUGCCACGUCUCAACAAUUCUCUUUUCAUCUAUCCCCUAAUCAUGCAACUGAAUGCUUCCAGUAGGCCACACAGUAGGGACAAAAUGAUAGUAAGACCACCUGGCUAUAGAUACCUGCUUCUAGAGAGGCCAGGUUCCAACCCAUUACAAGCUGAUAACCAUAUGUAUGAUUUUUGCUACACUGGCCAAGUAUUUGGAUCUUUUUUAAACAUAUUUGAUUAUUUACCCUUUGAUUAGAAUUUGUGAAUAAAAAUGUCUUUUAAGAGACACAAAGGAAGGGGGUACGGGCAAUAGCUCAUUACUAAAAAUCAUUUUAGUGUGGAAAGUGGGCUUCACUAUUCCUAUAAGGCAGUCAUUUUCAAACUUCAGAGCAUCACAAGCCCCCUGUUAGAUUCUAAUAGAACCCUGAGGAAAAUGCACAUACACAUAAAUGUUCACAUAUAAUUUCUACAGGUUGAAGGACCUCCCAAAACAAAACAAAUCUAUCAACCACAAACUCCAGUGUAAAAAACUGGCUCUAUGAAGACUUCAAAUCACCCUCACUUCCUUUGCAUAUAACCAUUUUUUUCUUCAGACAAAUAAAAAAUACAAUUAAGUUUAAUACAAGAAGAGGCUAAAAACAUUAGGAUAGAAUAUUAGAGUUUAAAGAUCUUUGCCUGGUUAUGGUCUAAAGAUAUUUGCUUUGAUUAAUAUAUGGUGUAACUCAUUAAUUAAAUGCAAAUUGAAAUAAGAUAAACCUGUCCCCAUAUCAUUUCUGGUAGACAAUAAUGUGCCAGUUUUCUCUCCAAUAAAUUAGAUGAGGCAAGCUUUCUGUUACUAAAUAAUAGCAAUAUGGGACAGGAGAAAAAAAUUUACCAUGAGGUGCUUUGGAAUUAUUCACAUGAAGAACUUUUUAUUUCUUACUUUCUUUUUCACUAAAAUAGUACUUUUUCUCAUUUUCAACCAAUUUUUAAAUAUGAGGUGUUUACAUUGCUUACUGUUCAAAUUAGCAUUGCAUACUUUCAGGCACAGACA
rnacentral:lncRNA from 10 species